AGGGUUUGAUUCUGGCUCAGGAUGAACGCUAGCGGGAGGCUUAACACAUGCAAGUCGAGCGGGAGGGGUAGCAAUACCCCAAGAGCGGCGCACGGGUGCGUAACGCGUAUGCAACCUGCCUUAUACAAAGGGAUAGCCCAUGGAAACGUGGAUUAAUAUCUUAUAGGACUUGUGAGUCGCAUGGUUUACAAGUUAAAACUACGGUGGUAUAAGAUGGGCAUGCGUCUGAUUAGGUAGUUGGUAGGGUAACGGCCUACCAAGCCGACGAUCAGUAGGGGUUCUGAGAGGAUUACCCCCCACACUGGUACUGAGACACGGACCAGACUCCUACGGGAGGCAGCAGUGAGGAAUAUUGGUCAAUGGGCGAGAGCCUGAACCAGCCAUCCCGCGUGCAGGAUGACGGCCCUAUGGGUUGUAAACUGCUUUUCUGCUCCAAGAAACCUGAUUACGUGUAAUCAGUUGACGGUAGAGUAGGAAUAAGCAUCGGCUAACUCCGUGCCAGCAGCCGCGGUAAUACGGAGGAUGCAAGCGUUAUCCGGAUUCAUUGGGUUUAAAGGGUGCGCAGGUGGGAAUGUAAGUCAGUGGUGAAAUACUGCCGCUUAACGGU
rnacentral:rRNA from 1 species